CUAAAACAAUGUCAAUAGUUUUCAUCAACAGCAGUUGAACCUAGUAAGUUUCGAUACUUUGGGUCUGAGUGG
ensembl:snoRNA